CCUACGGGUGGCAGCAGUGAGGAAUAUUGGUCAAUGGGCUUACGCCUGAACCAGCCAAGUCGCGUGAGGGAAGACUGCCCUAUGGGUUGUAAACCUCUUUUGUCAGGGAGCAACGCCGGCUACGUGUAGCCGGUCUGAGAGUACCUGAAGAAAAAGCAUCGGCUAACCCCGUGCCAGCAGCCGGGGUAAUACGGAGGAUGCGAGGGUUAUCCGGAUUUAUGGGGUUUAAAGGGUGCGUAGGCGGAAUGCCAAGUCAGCGGUAAAAUCGCGGGGCUCAACCUCGCUCCGCCGUUGAAACUGGCGUUCUUGAGUGGGCGAGAAGUAUGCGGAAUGCGUGGUGUAGCGGUGAAAUGCAUAGAUAUCACGCAGAACUCCGAUUGCGAAGGCAGCAUACCGGCGCCCAACUGACGCUGAAGCACGAAAGCGUGGGUAUCGAACAGGAUUAGAUACCCUAGUAGUC
rnacentral:rRNA from 1 species